rnacentral:ncRNA from 1 species
AACCAGGGAGCUUGUGUUCCAGGCUGAGAGGAAGUAAAGAACUUCGACCUGUAUAACCUGAUUUGGGUAAUGCCAACGUAGGGACUGUGUUUG